CUGAAAUACAAAAUGUUUUUUUUUAGGGGAAGAAGAACAAAUAAGAAAGGAUAUCUACAUUCCAUAGGUGGUGCCUUCAAGCAAAGAUCAAUUCUUUAAAUCUUUACAUAAGUUUACCCAGAAUUUUACUUUCAAGGAAAUUUUUCAUCCCAUAUCUUUAAUCCUUCCAAAGAAAUUCAUUCCUGGCAUCUUUUAGAAGGACUGUUUUGGAACAGGCCAGAGUCAGAAAGACAUGACACUUUUUUCUGCAGAAACCUGUAUGAAUCAAUCCUUAAAUGACAUAAUUUUAAUCCCUAAACUGUGUUACCCCCGCUGACACAGUCAGCCGCACCAGUUGUGGGAACUGAACUCGAUGGCAAGCAAGACACAGGCUGGCUGGUGCUCUAAGAGGCAACGUGGCACAAAACCUGUGUCAAAAUAGAGAUAAUGGUGAUUAAUUGAAGGAAUUAAUCACCCUCCUUUGGAGAUCUUUGCAUUUAAUUCACAAAUUGGCUUAGGCAUUUGAAAGAUGGAACAGAAGCAAAAGAUACCGAGAAAGAAAGUGGGCUGUAGAGGCUAUGGAAGACCACUGGAUAUACUGAAAUUAUUAACAGCAAAAGCUGUAACAAAGUAGAAAAUGAAAGAUAAAAAAGGAGUGCAGAGGGUGUUGGCUGGUGGCAGGAAGUACUGUUGGAGAGGGCAUAUGACUCUUGCCGGCAUUACCUUAAGGACACAGAAAGAAACAUUCAGCUGCUGAGGGGGUGUCAAGAUAAUUCAUUCUGUCAGAGCCAUCUUGGAUUUUUUUUAACUAACUUAGUAUUCCAAUAUCUAACAAUCGCUGUUGUGUGGCUCCUGCUAUUUACUGUCUUCAUUUCUACAGGAGUCCUAUACAGAUAAAGACAUUUGACACAUUCAGUGCCAGCUGUGUUGGGCACUAUGCUGCACAUUCCUUGAGGAACUCACAGUGCGUCAUGAGAAAGAGCAAAGAGCAUAACCUGGUGUAUUUAAAUCUGAUGUUAUGCCUCCCAGGUGGUACCAAGGGAAGGCAUGAUUAAUUCUGACCAGGGGAUUUGGAAUCACAUCUUCUACACAUAAUAGAGCAAAGGAUCACAUGUUGGGACUCUCACAUAAAGAUGAUAUGAAGACAUAUGUAGUUUAUUUAUUGAUAGCACUUUCAAAAAACUCUCU